rnacentral:lncRNA from 1 species
GUGCCAUUUCGGUGCAGUUUUAGUGCAAUUUUGGUGCAGUUUUAGUGCAAUUUUGGUGCAGUUUUAGUGCAAUUUUGGUGCAAUUUUGGUGCCAUUUGGGUGCCAUUUCAGUGCCAUUUCGGUGCCAUUUUGGUGCGGUUUUGGUGCCAUUUCUGUGCCAAUUUGGUGCCAUUUUGGCUCUGUUCUGGCACCGUUUCAGUGCCAUUUUGGUGCCAUUUUGGUGCUGUCCUGGCCCUGUUUCGGUGCCAUUUUGGGGCAGUUUUGGUGCCAUUUUGGUGGCGUUAUUUCGUGUAAUUUCGGUGCCAUUUCGGUGCCAUUUUGGUGCGAUUUUGACUCUGUUCUGGCCCUGUUCCAGUGCCAUUUUGGGGCAGUUUUGGUGCCAUUUUGGUGUCAUUUCGGUGCUGUUUUGGUGCCAUUUCAGUGCCAUUUUGGAGCCUCUUUGGUGCCAUCUUGGUGGUGUUAUUUCAUUUAAUUUCCGUGUUAUUUUGGUGCCAUUUUGGUGUCAUUUCGGUGCUAUUUUGGUGCCAUUUCAGUGCCAUUUUGUUGCAGUUUCGGUGCCAGUUUGGUGGUGUUAUUUCGUGUAAUUUCAGUGCCAUUUCGGUGCCAUUUUGGUGCCAUUUUGGUGCCAUUUUGGUGCCAUUUUGGCUCUGUCCUGGUCCCGGUUUGGUGCCAUUUUGGGGCAGUUUUGGUGCCUUUUUGGGUGACAUUAUUUCGUGUCAUUUCAGUGCCAUUUUGGUGCCAUUUUGGUUCUGUUCUGGCCCUGUUGCAGUGCCAUUUUGGUGCCAUUUUGGUGGUGUUAUUUCGUGUUAUUUUGGUGCCAAUUUGGUGCCAUUUUGGCUCUGCUCUGGCACCAUUUCAGUGCCUUUUUGUUGCAGUUUUGGUGCUAUUUUGGUGGUGUUAUUUCGUGUAAUUUCAGUGCCAUUUUGGAGCCAUUUUGGUGUCAUUUUGGUGGCAUAAUUUCGUGUCAUUUCAGUGCCAUUUUGGUGCCAUUUUGGCUCUGUCCUGGCCCAGUUGCAGUGCCAUUUCUGUGCCAAUUUCGUGCUAUUUUGGUGCCAUUUUGGUGCUUUUCUGACACUGUUUCAGUGCCAUUUUAGUAUCAUUUUGGUAUCAUUUCAGUGCUAUUUUGGUGCCAUUCUGGUGUCAUUUCAGUGCCAUUUUGGUGCUUUUUUUGUCACCAUUUUGGUGCCAUUUUGGCUCUGUCCUGGCCCUGUUGCAGUGCCAUUUCUGUGCCAAUUUCGUGCUAUUUUGGUGCCAUUUUGGCUCUCUCCUGGGCCUGUUUCGGUGCCAUUUUGGUGCAGUUUGGGAGCAAUUUUGGUGGUGUUAUUCUGUGUAAUUUCGGUGCCAUUUUGGUGCCAUUUUGGUGCUGUUCUGCCACCAUUUUGGUGCCAUUUUGGUGGCAUUAUUUCAUGUAAUUUCCGUGCCAUUUUGGUGCCAUUUUGGCUCUGUCCUGGCCCUGUUUCGGUGCCAUUUUGGUGCCAUUUUGGUGCCAUUUCAGUGGUGUUAUUUGGUGUAAUUUCAGUGCCAUUUUGGUGCCAUUUUGGCUCCGUUUUGGCCCUGUUUUGGUGCCCUUUUGGUGCCAUUUUGGUGCCAAUUUAGUGCCAUUUUGGUGCCAUUUUGGUGCCAAUUUAGUGCCAUUUUGGUGCCAUUUCGGUGGUGUUAUUCUGUGCAAUUUCGGUGCCGUUUUGGUGCCAUUUUGGUGCUGUUCUGCCACCAUUU